rnacentral:rRNA from 1 species
AGAUUGAACGCUGGCGGCAUGCCUUACACAUGCAAGUCGAACGGCAGCACGGGAGCAAUCCUGGUGGCGAGUGGCGAACGGGUGAGUAAUACAUCGGAACGUGCCUAAUAGUGGGGGAUAGCCCGGCGAAAGCCGGAUUAAUACCGCAUACGACCUACGGGUGAAAGCGGGGGAUCGCAAGACCUCGCGCUAUUGGAGCGGCUGAUGUCAGAUUAGGUAGUUGGUAGGGUAAAAGCCUACCAAGCCAACGAUCUGUAGCUGGUCUGAGAGGACGACCAGCCACACUGGGACUGAGACACGGCCCAGACUCCUACGGGAGCAGCAGUGGGGAAUUUGGACAAGUGGGCGCAAGCCUGACUCCA